UUGCAUAUCAAAAAGCGGAGGAAAAGAAACCAACAGGGAUUGCCCUAGUAACGGCGAGUGAAGCGGCAACAGCUCAAAUUUGAAAUCUGGCUUCGGCCCGAGUUGUAAUUUGUAGAGGAUGCUUUGGGCGCGGCUCUAACUGAGUUCCCUGGAACGGGACGCCACAGAGGGUGAGAGCCCCGUAUAGUUAGAUGCCUAGCCUAUGUAAAGCUCCUUCGACGAGUCGAGUAGUUUGGGAAUGCUGCUCUAAAUGGGAGGUAAAUUUCUUCUAAAGCUAAAUAUUGGCCAGAGACCGAUAGCGCACAAGUAGAGUGAUCGAAAGAUGAAAAGCACUUUGAAAAGAGGGUUAAAUAGCACGUGAAAUUGUUGAAAGGGAAGCGCUUGUGACCAGACUUGCGCCGGGCAGAUCAUCCGGUGUUCUCACCGGUGCACUCUGCCCGGCUCAGGCCAGCAUCGGUUCUCGUGGGGGGAUAAAGGUCCCGGGAACGUAGCUCCUCCGGGAGUGUUAUAGCCCGGGGCGUAAUGCCCUCGUGGGGACCGAGGUUCGCGCAUCUGCAAGGAUGCUGGCGUAAUGGUCAUCAGCGACCCGUCUUGA
rnacentral:rRNA from 1 species